CGUAGGUGGCAAGCGUUGUCCGGAUUUAUUGGGUUUAAAGGGUGCGUAGGUGGCCCUGUAAGUCAGUGGUGAAAUAUCUCAGCUUAACUGAGAGGGUGCUAUUGAUACUGCAGGGCUUGAGUACAGAUGAGGUAGGCGGAAUUGACGGUGUAGCGGUGAAAUGCAUAGAUAUCGUCAAGAACACCGAUAGCGAAGGCAGCUUACCAAGCUGUAACUGACACUGAGGCACGAAAGUGUGGGGAUCAAACAGGAUUAGAUACCCUGGUAGUCCACACUGUAAACGUUGAUGACUCGAUGUUGGCGAUACACAGCCAGCGUCCAAGAGCAAUCGUUAAGUCAUCCACCUGGGGAUACGCCGGCAACGGUG
rnacentral:rRNA from 1 species